rnacentral:piRNA from 1 species
UCAUUUAAAACUGAUUCCUGAAGACUGCU